rnacentral:rRNA from 1 species
CCUACGGGAGGCAGCAGUGAGGAAUAUUGCACAAUGGGGGAAACACUGAAGCAGCGACGCAGCGUGAGUGAGGAAGGAUCUCGGUAUGGAAAGCUCUAUCAGCAGGGAAGAAAAUGACGGUACCUGACUUAGAAGCCACGGCUAACUACGUGCCAGAUGCGGCGGUAAUACGGAGGGGGCAAGCGUUAUCCGGAUUUACUGGGUGUAAAGGGAGCGUAGUGGGUUAAUCAAGUACGAAGUGAAAACCCUGGGCUCAACCUUGGGACUGCUUUUGAAACUGGGUUGCUAGAGUGCAGGAGAGGUAAGUGGAAUUCCUGGUGUAGCGGUGAAAUGCGUAGAUAUUAGGAGGAACACCAGUGGCGAAGGCGGCUUACUGGACUGCAACUGACGUUGAGGCUCGAAAGCGUGGGGAUCAAACAGGAUUAGAUACCCUAGUAGUC